GAUGAACGCUGGCGGCGUGCCUAAUACAUGCAAGUCGAACGCUUCACUUCGGUGAAGAGUGGCGAACGGGUGAGUAAUACAUAAGUAACCUGGCAUCUACAGGGGGAUAACUGAUGGAAACGUCAGCUAAGACCGCAUAGGUGUAGAGAUCGCAUGAACUCUAUAUGAAAAGUGCUACGGGACUGGUAGAUGAUGGACUUAUGGCGCAUUAGCUUGUUGGUAGGGUAACGGCCUACCAAGGCGACGAUGCGUAGCCGACCUGAGAGGGUGACCGGCCACACUGGGACUUGGGCACGGCCCAGACUCCUACGGGAGGCCGCAGUAGGGAAUUUUCGGCAAUGGGGGAAACCCUGACCGAGCAACGCCGCGUGAAGGAAGAAGUAAUUCGUUAUGUAAACUUCUGUCAUAGAGGAAGAACGGUGGAUAUAGGGAAUGAUAUCCAAGUGACGGUACUCUAUAAGAAAGCCACGGCUAACUACGUG
rnacentral:rRNA from 1 species